rnacentral:lncRNA from 1 species
UGAAAACUUGUUGAAUUCAUUCAAAAAACUGAAUAUGGCUCAAAGCCAAUACAUAAACAAGCUUACAACUUGACAAAACAGUAGGUUAACCUAAACUUCACCUACUACCACUAACAAACUUAGUAACUUGAGCUAAUUAACUUGUACAAAUCAACAAAGCUGAUUAAUCAGCUCAAUCACCAUUAGUUUUACAUCAAACAUAAACCUAACAUAGUUGAAAUACAACUAAGUUACAUUGCAUUAACUUAAAAAUACAAAAUAAGUGGAAAAAUAGCUUGCUGGCUUGAUGAACUUGCAGCUUCUGCAUGUAGUGCCCUCGACAGUCUUGGUUGCUGCAUGUUGACCAUUGCUUCAACACUCCUCCUUGGUUAGCAUGUUGCAAACUCCCAUCUUAGUUCUUAGGUGUUGAAACUUGGAAACACUGAGUGCCUUUGUCAAAAUGUCAGCAGUUUGCUCUUCAGAACUACAAUGAACCAAUUUGAUAACCUGAGCUUGCUCCAUUUCUCGAACUGCAUGAAGUUUGAUGUUAAAAUGCUUGGUCCUUCCAUGAAAGACAGGGUUCUUUGCAAUUACAACAGCAGAUAGGUUGUCACACAUUAUCUCUGUUGCUUCCUUUUGCUCAUGGUUAAGAUCAGCUAAGAUUUUUCUAAGCCAUAUGUCUUGAUUGACUGCUGCAGCAGCAGCGAUAUAUUCAGCCUCUGCAGUAGAUUGUGCUACUACUGCCUGCUUCUUUGAACUCCAGCAAAUCAUACCAGAGCCUAGGUUGAAUGCAUAACCUGUUGUGCUCUUCAUAUCAUCCAAAGAACCUGCCCAAUCACUAUCACAAUAGCCCACUAACUUUAAGUUCUCAGCCUUGGUAAACUGCAUUCCAUAGGACAAAGUUUUCCCUUGAUGUAUCUUAGAACUCUUUUUGUAGCUCUAAAGUGACUUUCAUUUGAGCAAUGCAUGAACCUCGAGAGUAGACUCACAGCAUACAUUAUAUCAGGUCUGGUAGCAGUCAAAUACAGCAAACAUCCAACUAGACUUCGAUAGGUUGUUUCACAGACCUUUUCAUGCUUAUCUUGGCUCGAGAGUUUUUCUCCAACAGCAAUUGGUGUGAUGGUUGCUUUGCAAUUUUCCAUUGAGAAUUUGUUGAGAACCUUCAUAGCAAAGGUUUUUUGACUAAGCCAAAUUCCAUUUUCAGCUUGAGUUACUUCCAUGCCUAAGAAGUAAGACAUUAAUCCCAAGUCUGACAUCUCAAAGUGCUGUUGCAUUUUAGCUUUAAAGCUGCUUAGCAUCUCUUGAUCUCCUCCUGUCACCAGUAAGUCAUCGACAUAUAUUGACACAAUGAGCUAAAUUUCAGUACUAGUCAAUUUAACAUAGAGAGUUGGCUCACUUAGAUUUCUCUCGAAUCCCAAACUGGUCAGAUAUCCAUCAAUUCUGCUAUACCAGGCCCUUGGAGCCUGUUUCAAGCCAUACAAGGCUUUGUUGAGCUUGUACACCAUUUCUUCCUUGCCAGACACCUUGAAACCUUGAGGUUGCUCCACAUAAAUCUCCUCUUCAAGGAAUCCAUUCAGAAAUGCUGAUUUUACAUCAAGUUGGUGUAUCAGCCACUGUUUUUGUGCUGCUAAGGCAACCAGCAGUCUGAUGGUGUCUAGCCUGGCCACUGCUGCAAAGGUUUCCAGGUAGUCUGAUCCAUACCUUUGACUGAAGCCUUUCACAACCAAUCUAGCCUUUAACUUGUUUAGGCUACCAUCAGCAUUGUUCUUGACUCGAUAAACCCAUUUGACACCAAUAAUCUUCCUGUUUGUUGGUCUAUCAACCAGACUCCAGGUCUGAUUCUUUUCAAUCAUCCUGAUUUCUUCAAUCAUUGCUUGCUUCCAGUACUCCUGGCUUUCUGCUUCUUCAAAGCAACUUGGUUCAACAGUAGCCACUUGUGCUCUUUCAUAAACAUCAGCCAGUGAUCGAGUGCCUCUGAUUGGAACAUCAUCUACAUCCAUUUCAGGUGUGCUUUCAUCAUUUUCAGCUUGGUCCAAUGCCAGAUCUUCAGCCACUGCCUCUGGUUCAGCCUUCUCCCAAUUCCAGUGUCCUUUUUCAUUGAAAACAACAUCCCUGCUAACCAAUAUCUUGUUUGUAGCAGGUUCUAGGAUUCUGUAGCCCUUUUUAACCAAGCUAUAGCCGAUCAGGAUCCCUGCUUGAGCUCUUUUAUCUAGCUUACUUCUCUUCUCAGCUGGAACUUGAGUGUAGCACAGACAACCAAAGGCUCUGAGAUGAGCCAGUGAUGGCUUAAACCCAAACCAGGCUUCAAAUGGAGUCUUCUCAGCCAGAGCCUUGGUUGGGAGCCUGUUUUGGAGAUAAACUGCUGUGUUAACAGCUUCAGCCCACAGAGUUUUGGGCAAAUUCUUCUCAAACAGAAGACAUCUUGCCAUGUUCAUCAAGCUUCUGUUUUUCCUUUCACUGACCCCAUUCUGUUGGGGUGUAUACACAUUAGUCAACUGGUGUUUGAUACCUGCUUCUUCACAGUAAGUUUGGAACUGAGCUGAGGUGUACUCAGUUCCAUUAUCUGACCUCAUUGCUCUAAGUUUGCAACCAGACUCAGUUUCAACAGCAGCUUUGUACUUCAGGAACACAGAUGGAACUUCUGAUUUCUGUUUUAGAAAAUAAAUCCAGCAGUAUCUUGUAAAGUCAUCAAUAAAUAGAAUAAAGUACCUGCUUCCUUUGAGAGACUCAGUCUUCAUUGGUCCACACACAUCUGUAUGCACAAGCUGGAGCUUCUCUGAUGCUCUCCAUGUUGUGCUUGUUGGAAAUGGCAAUCUUGCCAAUUUUCCUUGCUGACAUAUCUCACAAAGCUCAUCAUUCUUCACUGAAUCGAUGAAAUUUUCUGCCAGACCUUCAUUGACCAUGCGGGCUAUAGAUUUGUAGUUUGCAUGUCCAAGCCUCUGAUGCCAGAGUCUAGAGUCAUCAGUGGAGGCUAUGCAGGCUGAAUGUAAGUCAUUUGGCCAGUCUACUUCAAAACAUUUAUCAGUCAUGGUGACUAUUAUGAGGUUUGAUCCACUUGGAUCAAAAAUUUGACAUUCUUUCUCCUUGAACACAACUGAGUAACCUUUCUCAAGUAGUUGAGUUAUACUGAGAAGGUUCCUAUCGAUUUCAGGUACCAAAAGUACAUUUGAAAUGAUUUUGCCACCUGUAGAGGUAUGAAUCAGCACAUCUCCUCUUCCUUCAGCAUUAAUCAACUGACCAUUUCCAAUUUUCACCUUGGUUUUGCAGGUUCUGUCCAGGGUUUUGAAGAUAGUUGCAUCUGGUGACAUGUGGUUUGUGCACCCACUGUCUAGAAGCCAGCCCUUUGAACCCUUCUUCUGAUUUGCUGCACAUGACACAGCAAAAACAUGUUCUUCUUGAUCACUGCUUUCUUCAGCUACUCGAGCUUCUACCUUUUGUUGCUGAAAUUGAUUCUGUCUUGGUUUGCUUCUAUUCUUGCAAACUUUUUCAACAUGGCCUUUUUUCUUGCAGUGUUGGCAUACUGCAUCUGGUCUAAACCAGCAUCUAUCUUCUGGAUGACCAGCUCUUUUACAAUGUCUGCAGAGUUGGUCACUGCUCCUAGCAGCAUCAGGCUUAGGCCUGUUUUUCCAGAACUUUUUGCCUUUGUGAGUUUUGAUGCUCGAGGCUUCUUUGGCUUGAAAAGCCCCUUCCUGGUGCUCCUCUUGUCUGCUGGCUCUUCUUUGCUCUUGUGCAUACAAGGCAUUGAUUAGCUCAGUUAAGGAGAUAGUUGUCAAGUCCCUUGAGUCUUCGAGGGAUGAAAUUUUAGCUUCAUACCUCUCUGGUAGAGUGGACAUGACUUUCUCAACUAUUCUAGCUUCACUGAAUUGCUCUCCUAGGAGCCUUAUGCUGUUUACAACAGCCAUAAUCCGAUCUGAGUACUGCUUAACUGUUUCUUCCUCUUUCAUUUUGAGAUUUUCGAAAUCUCUUCUCAAGUUGAGCAGCUGUUGUUGCCUUGUUCUCUCAGUCCCCUGAAAUUCUUCUUUCAGCUUGUCCCAAGCCUCCUUUGGUGUUUCACAGGCCAUGAUCCUCAUAAAGAUCACAUCUGUCACACAGUUCUGUAUGCAUGACAUGGCCUUGUGCCUUUUUGUUCUUUCAUCAGUGUGUUGCCUUAUUUGAGCAACUGUUGGAUUAGCUCGAAGAGGUGCUGGCUCAGCAUCUGAGUUAACAACUUCCCAUAGGUCGAAUGCCUGCAGGUAAGUCCUCAUCUUAACUGCCCAAAUGUUGAAGCCCUCUCCAUUGAAGACAGGUGGUGAAGCUGGUGAAAAACCUGAUGAUGCCAUGGUUUUGAUACUGAACUACAACAGGUCCUCUAAGAAUAUGGCUCUAGAUACCAAUUGUUGGAUCUAAGUGCAACAGCUGCAAGCUUCAACAGAAUGCUUGUCGAGCAAGUCUCGUGACUUGCAGCAGAAACAAAGCAGAAAACUCAAAUAGAUUUUGAAAACAAAAACAAAAUGAAGAGCAUAUGGAUGAAAACUUGUUGAAUUCAUUCAAAAAACUGAAUAUGGCUCAAAGCCAAUACAUAAACAAGCUUACAACUUGACAAAACAGUAGGUUAACCUAAACUUCACCUACUACCACUAACAAACUUAGUAACUUGAGCUAAUUAACUUGUACAAAUCAACAAAGCUGAUUAAUCAGCUCAAUCACCAUCAGUUUUACAUCAAACAUAAACCUAACAUAGUUGAAAUACAACUAAGUUACAUUGCAUUAACUUAAAAAUACAAAAUAAGUG